ACCUUGCGGAAGGUUCAUGGA
rnacentral:rRNA from 1 species